UACGAAGGGGGCUAGCGUUGUUCGGAUUCACUGGGCGUAAAGGGUGCGCAGGCGGCCGUGUGUGUGAGGCGUGAAAGCCCGGGGCUUAACCCCGGAAUUGCACCUCAAACUACACGGCUAGAGCAUUGGAGAGGGUAGCAGAAUUCACGGUGUAGCAGUGAAAUGCGUAGAUAUCGUGAGGAAUACCAGAGGCGAAGGCGGCUACCUGGACAAUUGCUGACGCUCAGGCACGAGAGCGUGGGGAGCAAAAGGG
rnacentral:rRNA from 1 species